GAUUUAACAGCUUUUGUUUUGGGCAGAAGAACCUAUGGGCACAAAAAGCAGGAACGAGUAGCGGUGGCUGAAGAACGAGCAGGAGCUUGAAUUUCAGUUUUCUUAUGAGGAAUUUUCCAGAAAAGAUAUCUUCACUGUGAAAUAACUAAAUAAAUGCCCACUCAGUACACUUUCCCUGCACUCCAAACACAGAGCUGAGACUUCCACCUAAUGUAGAAAGCUAGCACGAGCCGGCGCUGACAGAUGGAAGACUUGAGAUGUUACAAGAUUAUAUAUGGAAACACAAAAGGAGUGGAGUUGCUGGGUCAUAUGGCAAUUCAUUUGAGGAACUGAGAAGCUUAUUCCAUGGAGGCUGAACUGUUUUAUAUUCCCACCAGCAACGUGUAAGGUUCCAGUUUAUCUACAUCAUCACCAACACUUGCUAUUUUCCAUUUCAUUAAUGAUAGCCAUCCUAGUGGAUUUGAAGUGGUACCUUAUUAUCGUGGUUUUGAUUGCAUUCUCUAUUGACUAAUGAUAUCGAGCAUCUUUUCAUGUAUUUUUUGGUCAUUUGGUCAUUUUUCUUUUUUAAUUUUAAAAUUUUGAGACAGGCUCUCACUAUGUUGCCCAGGUGGUCUCAAACUCCUGGGUUCCAGCGAUGCUCAUGCCUCAGUCUCCCAAAGGGGUGGGAUUACAGGUGUGAGCCACUUUGCCCAGCCCAUUUGUAUAUCUCCUUUGGAGAAUAUCUAGGUUCUUUUGAAGGUAGCUGCAUAUAAACUAGCCAAAUUAACAGACUGUGGUUUUUAGAUGGCUUUCCAUAUCUACAAGAACUAUUUAGUUCUCAAAACUGGGAAGAAAUGUUUCAGAGGCAUCAUUAAUUCAUAAUCUAAAAAUUUAUCUUGGGUUUCCUUUUUUCCCCCAGAUUCUGUAUCCUCCAUAGUCCUAUUCAUGACAUGGGUCGUUCAUCUCUGUAUUCUAAACCCUCAAUGAACUGUAGACAGUAAUAAAUAUUUAUUGGAUGAAUGGUCUCUCAUCAGCCACCUUUUCUUUUUUUUUUUUUGAGACAGAGUCUCACUCUGUCACUCAGGCUGGAGUGCAGUGGCGCGAUCUCGGUUCACUGCAACCUCUGCCUCCCGGGUUCAAGUGAUUCUCCCACCUGAGCCUCCCGAGUAGCUGGGAUUACAGGUGCACGCCACCUUGUCUGGCUAAUUUUUGUAUUUUUAGUAGAGACAGGGUUUCACCGUGUUGGUCAGGCUGGUCUCAAACGCCUGACCUCAGGUGAUCUGCCCGACUUGGCCUCCCAAAGUGCUGGGAUUACAGGUGUGAGCCACCGCACCUGGCCUCCAGCCUCUUUUCUUUUUUUUUUUUGAGACAAGUCUAACUCUGUCACCCAGGCUGGAGAGCAGCGGCAUGAUCAUGGCUCACUGCUGCCUCAACCUCAGAGGCUCAAGUCAUUGUCCCCACCUCAGCCUCCCUAGUAGACUGGACUACAGGCAUGUGCCACCACACCCAGCUAAUUUUUCAUCAGCCACCUUUUCUAACCAUCUGUCUGCACUGACUUCCCAGGUUCUGCAUCAUUAUUGGUUUACUGAGACAAUGCACUUCACCCGUCCUUCAAUCCCAAAGUAGCACAGAAUAUCAGGAGUUCUUUGAGCCCCUAAGUGCCCUACUUUCCCAGGGUCAGGGGACCCUGACAAGCAAGGUCCCCACAUCUUUCUGUGGUUGGAUAGGGAUAUAAAAUUUCUCACACAUGUUAAAUCAAGAUACUUUGGCCAGGCACGGUGGCUCACACCUGUAAUCCCAGCACUUUGGGAGGCUGAGGUGUACAGAUCACUUGAGGUCAGGAGUUUGAGACAAGCCUGGUCAACAUGGUGAAACUCCCAUCUCUACUAAAAAAAAAAAAACUUUGGGAGGCCGAGGUGGGUGGAUCAUGAGGUCAGGAGUUUGAGACCAGCCUGGCCAACAUGGUGAAACCCCGUCUCUACUAAAAAUGCAAAAAUUAGGUGGGUGUGGUGGCACACAGCAGUAGUCCCAGCUACUCAGGAGGCUGAGGCAGGAGAAUUGCUUGAACCUGGGAGGCAGAGGUUACAGUGAGCUGAGAUCAUGCCACCGCACUCCAACCAGGGCAACAGAUCAAGACUCCAUCUUGGGGAAAAAAAAAAAAAUUAGCCAGGCUUGGUGGUGGAUGCCUGUAUUCCCAGCUUCUUGGGAGACUGAAGCAGGAGGAUCGCUUGAACCCAGGAGGCAGAGGUUGCAGUGAGUUGAGAUUGUGCCACUGUACUCCAGCCUGGGCAACAGAAACAAUACUCCGUCUCAAAAAAAAAAAAAAAAAAAAAAAAUCAAGACACCAAACACACACAACUAAUUAGCUCUAUAAAUUGAAUUAAAAGAAAAUCCAUACUGACUUGCUUUCCCAUCUGUCCAUAUUUGUCUAUCCAAAUGAUUAAGGGCUAGAGAAAAUACAGAUGAUGAUGGCUGAGAUGGGAUAAAACUAUAAAUUGACUUGGUUCCAUUUACCUCCCAGAAUCAGCAUACAGUGACAAAGUAGAGAGAAAAGGUCUGGGCACCACAAACUUGUACUUGUGCUAGAAAUGUAGGUGCCUUUUCAUUUGCCCAGCAGGGCUAGUUUAACAGCCAGGGUAUCUUCUGGGACUCUUCCCCAAAUCUUGCUCUACCGCUGACUAGCUAUGUGAUCUUGGGCAAGUUUCUCAACCUUUCUGUGCCUUUCUUCCUUUACUUAUAAAUAAGGAUAACAGAAUUUGCUUCAUAGAGUUAGUCUGAGGAUUCAGUAAGUAGAUACGUG
rnacentral:lncRNA from 1 species